rnacentral:rRNA from 1 species
CCUACGGGUGGCAGCAGUUAGGAAUUUUGGGCAAUGGGCGAAAGCCUGACCCAGCAACGCCGCGUGGGUGAAGAAGGCCUUCGGGUUGUAAAGCCCUUUUCUGGGGGAAGAUGAUGACGGUACCCCAGGAAUAAGCACCGGCUAACUACGUGCCAGCAGCCGCGGUAAUACGUAGGGUGCGAGCGUUGCCCGGAUUUAUUGGGCGUAAAGGGCGUGUAGGCGGCCCGACACGUCACGCGUGAAAUCUCCCGGCUCAACUGGGAGGGGUCGCGUGAUACGGUCGGGCUUGAGCAAGGUAGGGGGAAGUGGAAUUCCCGGUGUAGUGGUGGAAUGCGUAGAUAUCGGGAGGAACACCAGUGGCGAAGGCGGCUUCCUGGACCUUUGCUGACGCUGAGGCGCGAAAGCGUGGGUAGCGAUCCGGAUUAGAUACCCUUGUAGUC